AUGGAGAUUGCAGGUCGAUUAAAAAAAGUGGAUAAGCUGGUGAUGGGUGAAGCUGUGAAGAUCACGGUCGGCAUCCUGAGGAAGAUGGACCAGAACAAUCUGGCUGAGCAGCUGGAUAACAAACACAUGCAUGCUCAGGCUGAAGGCAACAUGAAGACAUCUUAUUCUGCUGAAGCUCAUUCAAAAGAGAUACAGGCUGAUAAAUCUCCAGUCCAGAUAAGAAGCAGUGCUCAGCCUGGAGCCAAUGUUGUUGAAGUGAAAGCUGAAACAAGUGCAAGUGUAAAUGCUCCUGUACUCGCUGGAAGCACCUUCACUGGAACAGUAAACUUCAACUUCAACUCACAUGCUGCAGGAAAUGAUAAACACAAAUGCUCAGAGACAGCAGAGAAUAACAGAGAAAAACAAGGACUGCAAGUGGAAGAAAGCAGAAAAGCCAAAAAGCAAGCGAAAGUUGAGCAGCAUUGCCGAGCAACGAAGAAAUCUGGAAUACCAGCAGGACAUGCAUUUCAAGCUGAAAGCAGUGACAAAGUUGGUGCACAAGCAGGAGACUUUGAAUAAAAAAAUCAUGAAGUUGGUAAGAGAGAUGGCUGAGUAAGAUCCAUCUCGAGCUGCAAGCACUGACAAAGGGUUUAGAGUCUUUGAAGCUCAAAGCUCCAAUGUUUAAGAUGUAAGAGUUUCUUUUGGGGGGAAACAUGAUCAUGUUUCAAAUAUUUAUUUUAUUUCUUUUUUAUUUCUCUUUUAUUUUUCUAACCUUUGAAGGUAUUAAUCUUUGUGGUUUAAGAGUUGAUGUAUGCUUUGUUUGUUUAAAGAGUGUAAAAAGACGUGGUUGCAUUUUCCAACGUGCUUGGGAGAUAAAACCAAAACCGAGCAGUGUUGAUUUUGCAAUGCAUGAAGGUGUGACUUCUGUGGUUGAACCGAGCACACGUGUACCUAUGCAGAAAAAGGUGUUACAGAUAUUUUUGUACUAACGUGUGUAUGUUGCUGACCACCCCUGCCAUUCUUCCCUUUGAACUUUUGACACUCUGUAUUAGAUGUGAUAAAGGUCAGGUACUAUGCUUGUGUAUGAAUACACGUGAUUACCAAAUAAGGGAGAAUGUAGGGGAGGUAUUCAAAGGGUAUGCAAAGCUAUAAAAGGGAGAGAAAAUCUGAGUGCGGGGCCGCACUUUGAUGGUGAAGACUUGCUCGCUUUUAUUUUUUCAUUUUUGAUUACUUAUGAGUUAUUGUCCAUUAAUAAAACAAAACCAUGACAAAUGGUGAUGCGAAUUUUUUUUAUUAAACAAUAAAGUCUCUGAGUAAUUCAUUUAUGAAUAAUAAAUUAUUAUAAACUGAAUAAUCCUACGGGCCUCAAGUAGACCGAACUCAGCUGAGCAGUUGCGGGUGCCGGGGAGGAUUCCACAUCUUCUCAUCGCAGAUCUGGACCUCAGUGGUAAGAACAGAUUUAUUAUGACUGUCAAGGAGAAUAGGAAAUGUGCAUUAGAUAUUUAGUGGAUUUCCCUCAGGAUAGAAAUACAACAAUACUCUCACACUUUAAUAUUUA
rnacentral:lncRNA from 12 species